AGCCCAAGCUUAAAACCCAAAGGACUUGACGGUGCCCCACCCACCUAGAGGAGCCUGUUCUAUAAUCGAUUCUCCCCGAUAUACCUCACCACUUCUAGCCUAUCAGCCUGUAUACCUCCGUCGUAAGCUUACCAUAUGAACGCUUUUUAGUGAGCUAAAAGAUUUUACAUAAAUACGUCAGGUCAAGGUGCAGCCCACGAAGUGGUAAGUAAUGGGCUACAAUUUCUAGAAUAGAACAUAACGAAAGACUAUAUGCAACUUAGUCAUGAAGGCGGAUUUAGAAGUAAAAAGAAAAUAGAGCGUUCUUUUUAAUCAGGCGCUGGGACGCGUACACACCGCCCGUCACCCUCUUCAAACGCUUUAUCAAGUUUAUAACAACAUUAUGCACUACAGAAGAGGUAAGUCGUAACACGGUAAGCGUACUGGAAAGUGCGCUUGGAUAAA
rnacentral:rRNA from 1 species